rnacentral:rRNA from 1 species
AUAUUGGACAAUGGGGGCAACCCUGAUCCAGCCAUGCCGCGUGUGUGAAGAAGGUCUUCGGAUUGUAAAGCACUUUAAGUUGGGAGGAAGGGCUUUAGGUUAAUACCCUGAAGUUUUGACGUUACCAACAGAAUAAGCACCGGCUAACUCCGUGCCAGCAGCCGCGGUAAUACAGAGGGUGCAAGCGUAAAUCGGAAUUACUGGGCGUAAAGCGCGCGUAGGGGUUUCAGUAAGAUGGUUGUGAAAUCCCCGGGCUUAACCUGGGAACUGUUUCAAUAACUGCUGGGUUAGAGUACGUUAGAGGGUAGUGGAAUUUCCGGUGUAGCGGUGAAAUGCGUAGAUAUAGGAAGGACCACCAGUGGCGAAGGCGACUACCUGGACUGAUACGGACACUGAGGUGCGAAAGCGUGGGGAGCAAAC